rnacentral:lncRNA from 1 species
CUUGGUCUCUGACAUCUCAAAGGGCUUGCCCAGAAGAAUUUCUUUCUGGUGGAGAGCAACUGUGGAAGUCAAGGACAGAAAUCACCCACUGUGUCAUCUGAUACUCCUCUGAUUGUUAUACCUAUCCUCAAUGUUAAGGAAAUGAGACCAAUUGAAAUGUCCACAUUAAAAAAUAAGAAGAAGGAGAGAAGGUUUUCCAAUGGCAGGUCUCUGUUCC